GACCCGGAAACACUCGGCCCGGAAGUGAAGUCGCCAGGAGGCGGGUCCGAAGAGAGGGUGGACCACGGCUGCGCGCUGGGUCCGGGAAGCGGUCGAUGCCCUCGGCCGACGGAGACUACAAGCCAGAGGCGGAAAAUAAAGCGGAAGGCCGAAGAACGAGAACGAAAGCGGCGGAACGGCAGUUUGGAGCCUAACGAGCCAUCGUCGCGUCUGGGGCUGGGACCCGGAAGUAAACAGGCCGGACGUGAUGGAAGCCACUCGGCUUAGGGAUGGUGGCUGGCCGGGUUGUCAUGGAAACCGCUCCGGAGCCGGGAGCUGCAUUCAUGACUCCGCAUAAGCAAGCAGGGGCUAACGGUUGGUUCCCUCGCCACCAUUGUACGAACAGAAAUACUGAGGCUCAAAGAGAGCCAAUGAGACGCUGAAAUCACGCGUGAUUGGAAUCCAGCCUUGCUAGAGCUGUUGGUGUUACGGGCUGUGGGCGACGGUUAAGAGCGCUAGUCAAGUGAAGCAAUGGGAGUGGAGAAGAAACAAAUCUAUAACUAGUUUUGAUGAAUUGGUUGUAAGCACCACUGCCACUGGACCAGCUAACACCAUGGUUAUCACAGGAGUGUGUCUGAGGCUGUGUUUGGCCCUGAGUGCCAGGUCUGCACCCUGCACUAAGGAUGGGUGAGGAACGACAGGCAGUCGAGCUGGUUGGUGCUACAGGCAAUGUACAGUAAGCCAUGAUGGGCAGAGGCAGGAAAUACUUAGAGAACUGGAAAGAAUAAAGGAGCCGGUGUUCUCUGCAGAGCCAGGUGAGU